GGCCACCGGCCUGUGGAGAACCCAGCCAUGGAGGGGCUGGAGCAGGCCUCCGUCGACAUGCAGCUCGCCGCCUCCAACGUUGGCUUCAGGCUGCUGCAAAAGAUGGGGUAGAAGUCCGGCAAGGGCCUCGGCAAGAACGAGCAAGGUUUCCAUUCUUUUUUCCUCUGCUCUCACCUCUUUGUUUACCCUCUCUCUAGAUUCACUUCAGUUCAGUGGUGA
rnacentral:rRNA from 1 species